AUUGAACGCUGGCGGCAUGCUUUACACAUGCAAGUCGAACGGUAACAGGCCGCAAGGUGCUGACGAGUGGCGAACGGGUGAGUAAUGCAUCGGAACGUGCCCAGUCGUGGGGGAUAACUACUCGAAAGAGUAGCUAAUAACGCAUACGAUCUAUGGAUGACAGCGGGGGACCGUAAGGCCUCGCGCGAUUGGAGCGGCCGAUGUCAGAUUAGGUAGUUGGUGGGGUAAAGGCUCACCAAGCCAACGAUCUGUAGCUGGUCUGAGAGGACGACCAGCCACACUGGGACUGAGACACGGCCCAGACUCCUACGGGAGGCAGCAGUGGGGAAUUUUGGACAAUGGGCGCAAGCCUGAUCCAGCAAUGCCGCGUGCAGGAAGAAGGCCUUCGGGUUGUAAACUGCUUUUGUACGGAACGAAACGGCUCUGGUUAAUACCCGGGGCUAAUGACGGUACCGUAAGAAUAAGCACCGGCUAACUACGUG
rnacentral:rRNA from 1 species